GUCGUACGGAAAAGAAUUUUUAGUGGCGAACGGGUGCGUAACACGUGAGAAUCUGCCUUUAGGAAGGGGAUAACAUUUAGAAACAUUUGCUAAUACCCCAUAUGCUUUACGGUGAAAGAAUUUAUUCGCCUAAAGAGGAGCUCGCGUCUGAUUAGCUAGUUGGUAGGGUAAAGGCCUACCAAGGCGACGAUCAGUAGUUGGUCUGAGAGGACGGCCAGCCACAUUGGAACUGAGACACGGUCCAGACUCUUACGGGAGGCAGCAGUGAGGAAUUUUCUGCAAUGGGCGCAAGCCUGACAGAGCAAUACCGCGUGAGGGAUGACUGCCUACGGGUUGUAAACCUCUUUUCUCAAGGAGGAAGAUCUGACGUUACUUGAGGAAUAAGCAUCGGCUAACCCUGUGCCAGCAGCCGCGGUAAUACAGGGGAUGCAAGUGUUAUCCGGAAUUAUUGGGCGUAAAGCGUCUGCAGGUUGAUCUAUAAGUCUUUUGUCAAAUCUUUGGGCUUAACCCAAAAACAGCAAAAGAAACUAUUUAUCUUGAGUAUGGUAGAGGUAAGGGGAAUUUCGAGUGGAGCGGUGAAAUGCGUAGAUAUUCGAAAGAACACCAAUAGCGAAGGCACCUUACUGGGCCAUUACUGACACUCAGAGACGAAAGCUAGGGUAGCAAACGGGAUUAGAUACCCCGGUAGUCCUAGCUGUAAACGAUGGAUACUAGGUGUUGCGUA
rnacentral:rRNA from 1 species